AAAAAUAGGCCGUGGGCCCAGCCGCGCCCAAAAAUAACCACCCGAAGGCCGGGGCGCCAAGUUCGUCCAGCGGAAAAAUGCCAUAAAAACGGGUGGGCUAUAGCCUUAGGGGGUGGGGCUGGCCAACAUCGUCCGCCGGACUUGGAAUGGCGCGAGACUUUGCGAUGCGCCUCCAUGUGCCAAAAAUAGGCCGUGGGCUCAGCCUCAGCCAAAAAUAACAGCCGGAAGGCCGGGGCGCCAAGUUCGUCUCGCGGAAAAAGGCCACAAAAACGGGUGGGCUAUAGCCUUGGGGGGUGGGGCUGGCCAACUUCGCCCGCCGGACUCGGAAUGGCGCAAUACUUUGCGAAGCGCCUCCGUGUGCCAUAAAGUGGCCGUGGGCACAGCCGCUCCCAAAAAUAACCGCCUGAAGGCCGGGGCGCCACGUUCGUCCACCGGAAAAAGCCAACAAAAACGGGUGGGCUAUAGCCUUGGGGGGUGGGGCUGGCCAACUUCGUCCGCCGGACUCGGAAUGGCGCGAGACUUUGCGAGGCACCUCAGUGUACCAAAAAUAGGCCGCGGGCCCAGCCGCGCCCAAAAAUAACCGCCCGAAGGCCGGGGCGCCAAGUUCGUCCAGCGGAAAAAUGCCACAAAAACGGGUGGGCUAUAGCCUUGGGGGGUGGGGCUGGCCAACUUUGUCCGCCGGAGUCGGAAUGGUGCGAGAAUUUGUGAGGCACCUCCGUGUGCCAAAAAUAGGCCGCGGGCACAGCCGCGCCAAAAAAUAACAGCCCGAAGGCCGGGGCGCCAAGUUCGUCCAGCGGAAAAAGCCCACAAAAACGGGUGGGCUAUAGCCUUGGGGGGUGGGGCUGGCCAACAUCGUCCGUCGGACUCGGAAUGGCGCGAGACUUUGCGAUGCGCCUCCGUGUGUGAAAAAUAGGCCGCGGGUGCAGCCGCAGCCAAAAAUAACAGCCCGAAGGCCGGGGCGCCAAGUUCGUCCAGCGGAAAAAUGCCACAAAAAUGGGUGGGCUAUAGCCUUGGGGGGUGGGACUGGCCAACUUCGUCCGCCGGACUUGGAAUGGCGCGAGACUUUGCGAGGUGCCUCCGUGUGCCAAAAAGUGGCCGCGGGCACAGCUGCACCCAAAAAUAACAGCCCAAAGGCCGGGGCUCCAAGUUCGUCCCGCGGAAAAAGGCCACAAAAACGGGUGGGCUAUAGCCUUGGGGGGUGGGGCUGGCCAACUUCGCCCGCCGAACUCGGAAUGGCGCAAUACUUUCCGAAGCGCCUCCGUGUGCCAUAAAGUGGCCGUGGGCACAGCCGCUCCCAAAAAUAACCGCCUGAAGGCCGGGGCGCCACGUUCGUCCACCGGAAAAAGCCAACAAAAACGGGUGGGCUAUAGCCUUGGGGGGUGGGGCUGGCCAACUUCGUCCGCCGGACUCGGAAUGGCGCGAGACUUUGCGAGGCACCUCAGUGUACCAAAAAUAGGCCGCGGGCCCAGCCGCGCCCAAAAAUAACCACCCGAAGGCCGGGGCGCCAAGUUCGUCCAGCGGAAAAAUGCCAUAAAAACGGGUGGGCUAUAGCCUUAGGGGGUGGGGCUGGCCAACAUCGUCCGCCGGACUUGGAAUGGCGCGAGACUUUGCGAUGCGCCUCCAUGUGCCAAAAAUAGGCCGUGGGCUCAGCCUCAGCCAAAAAUAACAGCCGGAAGGCCGGGGCGCCAAGUUCGUCUCGCGGAAAAAGGCCACAAAAACGGGUGGGCUAUAGCCUUGGGGGGUGGGGCUGGCCAACUUCGCCCGCCGGACUCAGAAUGGCGCAAUACUUUGCGAAGCGCCUCCGUGUGCCAAAAAGUGGCCGUGGGCACAGCCGCUCCCAAAAAUAACCGCCUGAAGGCCGGGGCGCCACGUUCGUCCACCGGAAAAAGCCAACAAAAACGGGUGGGCUAUAGCCUUGGGGGGUGGGGCUGGCCAACUUCGUCCGCCGGACUCGGAAUGGCGCGAGACUUUGCGAGGCACCUCAGUGUACCAAAAAUAGGCCGCGGACACAGCCGCGCCCAAAAAUAACCGCCCGAAGGCCGGGGCACCAAGUUCGUCCAGCGGAAAAAUGCCACAAAAACGGGUGGGCUAUAGCCUUAGGGGGUGGGGCUGGCCAACAUCGUCCGCCUGACUUGGAAUGGCGCGAGACUUUGCGAUGCACCUCCAUGUGCCAAAAAUAGGCCGUGGGCUCAGCCUCAGCCAAAAAUAACAGCCCAGAAAGCCGGGGCGCCUAGUUCGUCCACCGGAAAAAGGCNNNNNNNNNNNNNNNNNNNNNNNNNNNNNNNNNNNNNNNNNNNNNNNNNNNNNNNNNNNNNNNNNNNNNNNNNNNNNNNNNNNNNNNNNNNNNNNNNNNNNNNNNNNNNNNNNNNNNNNNNNNNNNNNNNNNNNNNNNNNNNNNNNNNNNNNNNNNNNNNNNNNNNNNNNNNNNNNNNNNNNNCAAAAACGGGUGGGUUAUAGCAUUGGGGGGGGGGGCUGGCGGACUUCGUCCGCCGGACUCGGAAUGGCGCGAGACUUUGCGAGGUGCCUCUGUGUACCAAAACUAGGCCGUGGACACAGCCGCGCACAAAAAUAACCGCCCGAAGGCCGGAGCGCCAAGUUCGUCCAGCGGAAAAAUGCCACAAAAACGGGUGGGCUAUAACUUCGGGGGGUGGGGCUGGCCAACUUCGUCCGCCGGACUCGGAAUGGCGCGAAACUUUGCGAGGCGCCUCUGUUUGCCAAAAAUAGGCCGCGGGCACAGCCGCGCCCAAAAAUAACUGCCCGAAGGCCGGGGCGCCAAGUUCGUCCAGCGGAAAAAUGCCACAAAAAUGGGUGGGCAAUAGCCUUGGGGGGUGGGGCAGGCCAACUUCGUCCGCCGGAGUCGGAAUGGUGCGAGAAUUUGUGAGGCGUCUCCGUGUGCCAAAAAUAGGCCGCGGACACAGCCGUGCCCAAAACUAACAGCCCGAAGGCCGGGGCGCCAAGUUCGUCCAGCGGAAAAAGCCCACAAAAACGGGUGGGCUAUCGCAUUGGGGGGUGGGGCUGGCCAACUUCGUCCGCCGGACUCGGAAUGGCGCGAGACUUUGCGAGGCACCUCCGUGUGCCAAAAAUAGGCCACGGGUGCAGCCGCGUCCAAAAAUAACUGCCCGAAGGCUGGGGCGCCAAGUUCGUCCAACGGAAAAAUGCCACAAAAACGGGUGGGCUAUAGCCAUAGGGGGUGGGGCUGGCCAACAUCGUCAGCCGGACUCGGAAUGGCGGGAGACUUUGCGAGGCACCUCCGUGAGCCCAAAAUAGGCCCCGGGCACAGCCGCGCCCAAAAAUAACAGCCCGAAGGCCGGGGCGCCAAGUUCGUCCAGCGGAAAAAGCCCACAAAAACGGGUGGGCUAUAGCAUUGGGGGGUGGGGCUGGCCAAAUUCGUCCGCCGGACUCGGAAUGGCGCGAGACUCUGCGAGGCGCCUCCGUGUGCCAAAAAUAGGCCACGGGUACAGCCGCGCCCAAAAAUAACUGCCCGAAGGCCGGGGCGCCAAGUUCGUCCAGCGGAAAAAUGCCACAAAAACGGGUGGGCUAUAGCCAUAGGGGGUGGGGCUGGCCAACAUCGUCAGCCGGACUCGGAAUGGCGGGAGACUUUGCGAGGCGCCUCCGUGAGCCCAAGAUAGGCCCCGGCCACAGCCGCGCCCAAAAAUAGCCACCCGAAGGGCGGGGCGCCAAGUUCGUCCAGCGGAAAAAUGCCACAAAAAUGGGUGGGCAAUAGCCUUGGGGAGUGGGGCUGGCCAACUUCGUCCGCCGGAGUCGGAAUGGUGCGAGAAUUUGUGAGGCGUCUCCGUGUGCCAAAAAUAGGCCGCGGGCACAGCCACGCCCAAAAAUAACAGCCCGAAGGCCGGGGCGCCAAGUUCGUCCAGCGGAAAAAGCCCACAAAAACGGGUGGGCUAUAGCAUUGGGGGGUGGGGCUGGCCAACUUCGUCCGCCGGACUCGGAAUGGCGCGAGACUUUGCGAGGCGCCUCCGUGUGCCAAAAAUAGGCCACGGGUACAGCCACUCCCAAAAAUAACUGCCCGAAGGCCGGGGCGCCAAG
rnacentral:lncRNA from 1 species